AUUUCUUAUGGAAAGUAGAGAGUUCAUUCCCAUGAAAAUUAGAUGUGACCAAAUAGAGGGGCAGAUCGGCUGGCGUCGUACAGUCAUACAAAAAGUAGCACGGUUGUUUGGCUACAUGAAGGACCAUUAUGCAUUGAGAAACUUCUGCCACUUGAUUGUAACCCUGCUAUAAAGGAAUAAAACUGUUUUCCACUUGCAAAAAAAAUAACAAGUACAUUGUUUGCAAUUUCCCCACACACACACACACAAACAGGAUCCGUUUAUCUAUCCGAGUCAUGCAAUUCUACUCUAAUUCACAGUAGUAACAUUUACCGUUGAAUCGCUCCUUUUCAGAUCCAGAGUCAUUAUGUUAAGAAGAAAACAUGAUUGCUCAUUUCUGAAUGAUUGAGUUGAGCAAUAUCCCCUAUUUCUCGGUAAACAGAGCUGAUAGCACCUCAUUCUCAUCCGCAUUGAGUUGAGCAAUAUCCCCUAUUGCGUGCUUAUCUAGCGACACGAAAUUUACUUCAUGAGCUCCGAAAAGUUUUUUAUAAUAGUUAGAUAUGUAAAAUUUCAGAUUCUCAUGCCCUAUAAUUGUAUCCUCAUCCUAUUCUAGCUAAAUUAUUUUCUUCUUUCUAUGCAUGCCGUCAGCUAUCAUGUGAAAGAUGUGGAUGUCAUCCCUAGUGGACCAGAGGACCUCACGAUUUCACUAGAGAUAGGUAGCGAUUCACUGUGCCCCAAAAGAAACUUCUUUCGAACGGGAUCCUAAACUUAAGAGGCUCUCAACCCAACAAUGUUGGGGAAUCCAACUGGUCCUAGAGGUACUGUGUAGUUCAAGUCGUGGAACAUCGAAUGUUGUGGACUUUGCGAUCCAUGGUUUUUCGUUGUCUCCCAAGCCUAGCUAACUCUACCAGGCAUGAAAGGUGAACUAUGACGAAGUAGUGCUGAAAAGAACAGUUCAUACACUCCAUCCAUCGGUUUCAAUUUAUAGGUAGAAAUAUAAAAGUUUAGUCCUCUUGUUAGGAAUCGACAGUAAUAUGAAAGGAUCCGCUUAAUUAAAUGCUCCCUAGCUACUCUCAAGUCUCAACUGGCAAGUGCAUUGGUUGCAAUUUAUAUAUUACUAGCUUCCUAGCUGGAUCCAUUAAUCUAAACACCCGUAAAAGAAAAAUGAUCCAUUUAUCU
rnacentral:lncRNA from 1 species